GAGAUUGGGUGAAACUGUGUGUUAUGCCCCCUUCAAAAGUAAGCCACAGGAGAGAAACGCGAUUGGUCAAAAGUAAGCCACAGGAGAGAAACGCGAUUGGUCAAAAGUAAGCCACAGGAGAGAAACGCGAUUGGUCAAAAGUAAGCCCCAGGAGAAAGGCGCGAUUGGUCAAAAGUAAGCCACAGGAGAGAAACGCGAUUGGUCAAAAGUAAGCCACAGGAGAGAUUACUUUUAGUCGCAAAUGCGAGAGGUAGCGGGAUCGAUGACCGCAUUCUCCAAAGGUUUUUUUUUUCCUGCUCUAAAAGUUAUAAUUACAUUUCAAUUUAGCACGCAGUGAUUGCUGUAUUUGGAUCCUUUGACAGAUAUUUUGAAUAAACUGAUUGGCCCACAGGGGAGAUGGAAAGGAAGUAGUCCGGCUCUCGUUUGCAAUGCAGGAUGAGCAGUACAGGACCGGCCGCAUACAGUAGGUUGAGGAGGAGGACGGGCAACAGGGUCGUGACGGGAAUCCUGUACAUUUCUGCAGUGUGUGGGUGCAGCGACACUCCAAUAUAAGACCACUGGCACUGUGGUGGACAGAAGCACAAGAUGUUGUUUUUGUGGCUUUGACUAAAUAUUGGAGAAGUUUUUCAUGUCUUACCUGUAAAAUGGCACUUGCAAAAUAUACCGUCCAAUCAAGCAUCCAAGUGCAGCCAGGUGUGUAAAGCCCAUAUGCAAAUGAACCCAGCAUUGGAAGCGUAUGGAACAGGAGCAGCAACAUCUGGAGACGAAAAGACAUCGUGCAACAAGUAUUACUUCAAUCUGUGUGUCAACACUACACGCCUUGCCUCUACACACCAGUGCUUUGAUGGCAAAUUAAUGCAGUCCAACUCAAUCCCCAAGGGCACCAGCGCUGCCGCAGCAAUGCACUCCCGCUGAAUACAGAUCGGCCCAACUGCAUUGAGUUCACACAAUCAUUCAUACUUAUUGAGGGGUAAAAACACAAACAUGGGUGCAUUACCCACAAUUAGACCCUAAACAGAGCCUGAUUUUGUUGCACAGCACGUGGUGUCUUUCAAGAAAGUUAUAACAAGCUGUGAAAGUCAUGUUCACCCAGGAAUUCAGAUACAUCUUUAGAGAAUUUAUUUUUAUUGCUUGAUUUUAAAUAUCACAUAGAAAAAGCAGCUAUUUAGGUAUAAAUAUAAUGUUAUAAUAUAUAUUAUACAUAUUCAUUUCUACAUUUAAAUACAUGUAUAAACAUUUAAAAUAAAAUAUAUAUAUUUUUAUGCAUAAAAUAAUAUACAUUAUUGUUUUGUAUAUAAAGUAAGCACUUUCAAUUAGAAUCGAAUCAGUCACAGAUGUUGAAUUGGAAUUUGAGUAGAAACAUUACAAGGAAUUUACCCUGCCUUAUACAUACUAUAUAAAUAUUCUUACCAGCACCUGGGCGUCCCUGAGUGCACAGGUAUUAUGCGAUCGAUGCGGGUUUCUGUCCUCUGUACAAGCAUACAUGUUGACGUGCCCUCAUUCCUUAUCAAACACAUUACCACACAUGUCACACUCUCUCCUUGUUUGAGUUGAUGGAGGGGCUCAGCAAGGACUCAUGGGUAGGAUUAGCUUAUCAAGUCACAGCACAUCUCCUGCCUGAUCGAUGGGCCACCAUUGUGCCAGUGUUUCAGCUGGAACAAGGACUUUUGAUAACCUAUUGACCAAGCUAAAACCCCAAUCUAAACAAAAACAAGGUACCCUCCAUACCUUUGUGCUCGGGCUGAGACAGGGGGGAUAUUCUUGGACUACCCAAGGUGACAAUAAGCCACCAACCUUAUUGAGUGCUAAUGAUGUUUAAUACUUACCGUACAGUCAUUUAGAGGAGCUUAAUGCUAUAAAGCUUAGGGUAUUAAAAAGCCUGAAUGUGUUGGCCUAAAACUGACCAAAUGUCAUUGCUUAAUAGUAUGUGAAAUGUACUCGCCGUAACUGGGGAAGCCCACAAGAUUCUUCAGAUAUGGUUCAUACUCUGUCAUAUCUGUUGAGGAUUUCUAACGGGCAAUCAAGAACGGCCUAUAUGGAUAAAGAUAUGAGUUUCUUUCUCCCAACUGAAUUAAUUAUGGAAAUCAUACGCAAGCAUAUGGUGAGCACCAACUUACCAAUCCUUUAAAGAUAGUGGAUCUCAUGGCAGCCACUAGAUAAACCACAAAGAGAAGAUCCAGGGGGCUCCAGAUCAAGGCUUUUUUCUGCUCACAUACAGCCUGAUUGAUACAAGCAGCAUUACUGAUUCUGUAGAGAAAAUACUAACCACUGACCAAUGUCAACGGUGUCUUGUUCUUCACCUUGGAUGCUCCCACAAGAGGCAUAUCCCUUGGCCUGGAGAACAAGAAAACAGUUCCCCAUAUAGGCACCAACAGAAAAGGCAUGUUGAGCCAGAAGGCAGGACAGAUCUCGGAGCCAUAUUUACCUGCAUAUAAAAUGUAUUUGAGAAGCAUCUUAUAAUGUUCAGCAGGAAUUCAUGAUCGUUUAUUUACUUUGACCCACCAACCACGAUUCUAGGUACAAACACAAUCAUGUUGGCACACAGCGAUCCAGGCCAGAAAAGACCCAAGGUGCAGUAUUGUUGCCUGGGAUGACAGGAAACACUAAUUUAGAAAAACCCACCUCCUUUUAAACAUAACAGCAUGUACUUUUAUGUCAUGUUCUUGCCAGAUAGUGUCAAACCUUUUACCAAUUUUUUAAAAAUGACAGACUCAUUUUUACAUCUUGGACUAGAGUACUGAAUAGCGUACAGAGUAGACAAUUUACAAACUUGUUUGACAUGCGGUGUAUUAGCAUCAGGUAGAGGAUCAAGUGUGUUAUACCAUCUUAGUAGCACAUCAUGAUAGCGUACGGUGUGCCGAGAUACGGCUACCCCUGGAGAACCAGCAAUACCAUCGUCAGACAGGUUUAGACUUGGUAAUCGAUAACAUGAACUCUGCUUUCUCUUCAUGAUACUAACUGUUUUCUGGUAGAACUCCAUGAACCCUGAGGUGAAGCCAUCAUAUUCUGGAACGCUUGUGAACUCGUGAAGGAAAACGGAGUAAAAACACAAUAACGUUAAUAAUCUUUUCUUCUGUUUAGUGUUCAAAUGUACAUGCUUUAGAUGUUGUAGUAUAUGUUACACAAGUGAAACAUGACUUCAUUGCGGUUUUCCAAUUUUUACUUUUGGUCACCUGAUAUUGUGAUAGAAUACUUUAUUCUGAUUGGUCAGUUGUGUGUGGUCCUAUGGAAUACUUGAUUCUGAUUGGUCAAUUGUGUGUGGUCCUAUGGAAUACUUGAUUCUGAUUGGCCCAUGGUGGCAUUCAGUGGUCUCAUAUUUGUAAUAAGCUAGUGAAUAUGGGGAAUUUCUAAGCUCAAAAUUCUCUUGGUUGACUGUUUUUUUAGGCUACAUUGUAGACUUGUAGAUUUUUAGAUAAUAUAGAGGUAAGAUUACAACAUAAUUUGAGUUAAAAAUUAAUAUUCAAACAUACACAUUUAUUUAUUUGGUGAGUCAUGCAAUAAGUGGAAUAUUGUACAAUAAGUCGCAUGAUUGAUUGGUUAUAUAUUUUCCACAUAUUCUCGUAUGCAAAUGUCACGUAUAAUUAACAUUAUGCAAAACUGCCCUGAAAUCAAACAAUAGAACACUUUCUUCCUCGGAAAGUGACAAACUGCUCUUGUCUAUAAUGAAAGAAAUGUUCAUUUACUUUGUUCAGUUUUAAUUGCAGGCUUUGCAAGAAAACGUAUCUCUCCCUAGUGGGAUUAUGAGCUCGGCUUCAUUGGCGCUUUCGAAACGCUGAAUUGAAAUGUUUUCGACUUUAACUCUAAGCCUUCUGUGAUGUGCCGAGAGAAAAACCUCACUAAUAAGAUGUUGCAGCGCUCAACUGCUCUAUCAAGAGUUAACCUUUAUUCUCAGUGUCUUUAUUAAAAAGAUUUCACUCUUACCGACUAUUGAUUUCUAGCAAGGUGGAAGGAUAAUGAUAUCUGCAAGUGGAGGUGUGAACAAGAAAUUUAUAUUUGGAGCCAUGUGGUGUUUUUUUUUUUUUUCUUUAUUUUUCUCCAGGUUUAAAGCGCAGCUCUGCCAAAAGGGCACUUUGCGGACACAGAAAAUACCCCAUGUGGCAUUUCCUAAGCAUCUGGGUGACAAAUAAUGAGUGGCAGGGGACAUGAAGAAAGAAAAUUCAUGAGCAUGGAGGCAAAAAUAAUGACUGUAAAUGUCACCACUGAAAGCUCAGACACAGGAUUUAACGGAAUAGUUCACGUAGACAUGAAAAAUCUGUCAUCAUUUACUUCACACUCAUGUCGUUCCAAAACCAUGUGACUCCAUUGGAACACAAUGGUGAAGUUUAGGGGAAUGUUCAUGCUGCUCUUUUUCAUAUAGAUAAAUGGUGAACUGUAAAGCUCAACAUGAUGGUAGCCUAACUGAUACGUUUCAAUUUGGGUGAAAUAUUCCUUUAAUAAUCUUUUCCGAGCAAAGUUUUCAAGAUGGAAUUUAUAGCCUAUUGUGAAGGAAACCAUGGGUGUAAAAGUAAAGACAGGUGUGUUAUUGUAACAAAUACUUUUCUUGUAUCCAAUUUCAUGGUUGGUUUGCUAGACUAGAUAUUGUCCAGUGUCAUUCUUCUUGCGUUCAAGAGUAUCUGACUGACAGCUUCGUAGAUAUAACAGCUCAAUGAGAAGUGCUGUAUUGCUAUCCGCUGAGCACAGAUGCACAGUCUGAUACUGACGUUUUCGCUUUCUGUCUUUCUCGCCUCCCCUUUUCUCCCGAGCCCUUUUAAUCCAUAGGGGUCUUGGUUUAGUUUACCUGUAUUACAGGUGCGAUAAUGGAAUUAUCGUCUCCUUCAUCAUGGCAGGGUGAAAAAAUAACAUGCUGUGCAAGAUGACAUUGUCACCUCUCAGUCACUCAAACCCAUAAUAACACCACUAUUUUAAGCUAGAUUUCUAGCAUUACAUUGCAAAAGCUUAAAUUUUUUUAUUGUGUCCUAAUACGAAGCAGAUUGGAAAUGCACAAGAGUUUGCGUUUAUUGAUUUGGGGAUUUUAAAACUAACCUUUCAUAAAGCGUAUUCUUUUCAGAUUAUUUUUUAAGUUUGUAUAUAUAGGCCUACCACGUGUCACAGAAGAAUUUUGUAAUUUUUUGUCUGGCAUUGUAAACAUUUUGGUAGGAGACAUGGCAAUUUUUUUGCCCCGUUUUUCGGAAAAUUGUGCAUGUGUCACCACAACUUCCACUGGUUUUUGUGUAAACCUCCCUGAACCUUUAAUACGGUGAGAGAAAAUGUCAAUGAAAUGCCAGUAUCUGCAUUCCACCGAUACUAAUGAGUUUAAAUUGCCUCAUUCAGUGCAGCAACAAAACAAUUAAAGGGAUAGUUAACCCAAAAAUGAAAAUUCUGUCAUUAAUUACUCAACCAUUCCAAACUCAUAAGACCUUCGUUCAUCUUCAUAGAAACGCCACUGACACAUUCAAAAUGCAGAAAGGUACGCAUGUCUCGUGAACUCACAUCUUUGACAUGGUGAAGAAAUUGCUGGAUAAAGUUGUUUUUUUUUCUUUGCACACAAACAGUAUUCUCGUUGCUUCAUAACAUUACGGUUGAACCACUGAUGUCACAUGGACUAUAUUACCGAUGUCCUUUUUACCUUUCUGAGCCUUGAUCGCGGUAAUUUCAUUGUUGCCUAUGCAUUGUCAGAAAGCUCUCGGAUUUCAUCAAAAAUAUCUUAAUUUUUGUUCUGAAGAUGAACGAAGGCUUUGAAACGACAUGAGGGUGAGUAAUUAAUGACAGAAUUUUCAUUGUUGGGUGAACUAUCCUUUUAAAUAAUUUAUGCAGAUGUAUGUAACCUUAAACAGAAAAAAAAAUUGGUGUUUUUGAGACCAUAUUUCAAAUCAUCUGACGUUUAUUUAUUUGAGGGUCAGAAAGAAAUGACGAUAAGCUGCAUAUCUCAAGAGUUAACUAAUCAAAUCAGUGUCAGAGCUCAUACUAUAGAACAAACAAUCUUUUGGAGGAUUGUAGUGAGUAGCGAGGUAGACCAAGAGGAACACCACCACAAGAACAGCCCCCCCAAUUUCCAGAAUAACCACUGGCCUGUAAUUGCAAAAUAUGAGUCAACAUAAUAUCAGAUUUAGCUCGCUGUGACUGACCAUAGUCUGUAAAUAAUCUAAAAAUAGGCCACUGACCACAGUCAGAUUUCUUCCUGUCAAUCAUUUUGCGCAAAGUUUUCGUGAGUUUGCAGUGUGCGAAAUGUUCACAGUUUCUCUUCUGACAACAUCGACAAGUGUUUUAAAGGAAAGACAGAAAAAAUAGUAAGAAUGAGGGAAAUUAAGAGGCUAAAGGAUCAAAAAAGAAACAAUGGAACAUUGAAAUCUUAAAGGCGCUUGAAACUGAAAUUUUUUUUUAACAAGUAUACCUAUUAUUGUUACUAUUAUCAUAGUAGCAUUGAUAAGUAUUAAAUAUUUAAUCAAGAAGAUGUCCUUCAAGCCUAUCUUAAAGGAUGCCAUACUUUAAUAAAUACAUUUUUUGAUUCAUUUUGCAUAGAGAUUACUACACACCUAUGUGUAUUCGGCCGUUUUCUUUCCUGUCUUCAGUAAGUGAGCAGAGAUGAAUGGUUUGGCAGAGAGAACUGUAAUUAUUCCAACACCCAGAGCACCAAAUGAGAUGGGGUGGGGGGGAGCACAUGACAACCAUCCUGCCUUACUGAGACAUGAUUACUGUUGUAUGAGGAGCUAUUCAGACAGAGGACAUGUCUUAUUGUCAACAUGAGAGUCAAUACAGCCUUCAACAGAAACAAUGGUUGUUUAAAAUGAAUAAAUGAAGGCACAGAAGUACAGUGAAAUACCACUUUUCGAUGACCUUUAUUGUUUUCAAUUAUUGGACUGUUUUUAUUGUUUCUAUACAGUAUAUAUAGCUUAUUUAGUUUUUUACAAAAUAUUUUUUUAAAUGUAUAAUUUGUGAACCAUUUCAUCUGAUGCAUUAAAAAUAACUGACACAAAAGAAUGAUUCUGCAAUCAGGCAUCACUAAAUGUUGUAGUUAAACUUUGACCUUCAUUUUAUUAAUAACAGAAAAUUGCAGUUGCAGACUGCAAUUUCAAUCUCAGGCAGUCAUAUUUCUAUUUAAAUUUAAAUUGGCCUCUUUUUGUGAUGUUAAGACCAGCCUGGGGAGAGAUGUGCACACAAAUGUCUUAGUUUUCCAAGCGUGGUCUAUAAUUUUCUUGGCUUGUACUGCUUUGGAACUCCUACAUCAUUUAAAUGGCUGUAAUGUUGUGUAUUUGAUAUUUUGUUUUUGUCAGGCUGCAGUUAUUGUUUUUUUUUCUAUCAAUAAAAGCAGUAGCUUGAGUCUAGAA